UACAGAGGGUGCGAGCGUUGUUCGGAAUUAUUGGGCGUAAAGGGCGCGUAGGCGGUGCGGUAAGUCACCUGUGAAAUCUCCUGGCUCAACUGGGAGCUUGCAGGCGAAACUGCCGUGCUGGAGUGUGGGAGAGGUGAGUGGAAUUCCCGGUGUAGCGGUGAAAUGCGUAGAUAUCCGGAGGAACACCGACGGCGAAGGCAGCCUUCUGGAAAGUACCUGACGCUGAGGGGCGAAAGCUAGGGGAGCGAACGGG
rnacentral:rRNA from 1 species